GUGCUUCCUUCACAGCACAUAGACUAAAAUUGGAGCAAUACAGGGAAGGUUAGCAUGGCCCCUGCUCAAGAAUGAUAUAGAAAUUUGUGAAGUGUUCUAAAUAUUU
rnacentral:snRNA from 1 species